GAUGAACGCUAGCGGGAGGCCUAACACAUGCCAGCCGAGCGGAAUGGUUCCUCCGGAAAUGGGGGAGCGGCUAACGGGUGCGUAAAACUUUGGCAACUGCCCUUUAUUGGGGGAAAGCCCUUCGAAAGGAAAAUUAAAACCUCAAUAAAUUUUUGAACGCCAUCGUUUAAUAUGAAAGCCUCGGGCGGUUGGAAAGGGCCCCGCCCAGGAUUAGUUAUUGGGGGAGUAAAGGGCUCACCAAGCCAAGGUUCUUUAGGGGGCUGGAGAGGGUGUUCCCCCACACUGGUACUGAGACCCGGACCAGACUCCUACGGGAGGCAGCAGUGAGGAAUAUUGGUCAAUGGGUGCAAGCCUGAACCAGCCAUCCCGCGUGAAGGACGACUGCCCUAUGGGUUGUAAACUUCUUUUGUAUAGGGAUAAACCUACCCUCGUGAGGGUAGCUGAAGGUACUAUACGAAUAAGCACCGGCUAACUCCGUG
rnacentral:rRNA from 1 species